GGCAGCGGGAAAUGGACAACACACCGACGGCCCCGGACUAAAGGCAAUUCUUCCGUUUUGGCCAAGCACGCAGCGACUGAAUAGGUUUAUUUCGAAACAGGCAAAGGAGCGGGAAAAGUGGCACAAGGUUGCGGUAGAUAAUGUUCACUCACUUACCUCGGUCUCUCCCGAAGCCAUGGUGCCUGGACCUAAACCCCGCCCAUACAUGAUGACGUCACCAAGAUCGAUUCUUUUUUCUUUUUUUUCAACAGUCCUGUCAUGAAGGAAUCUUUAUGGCUUACAGGGACUGUUGAAUAUGCUGAUAAUGAUAUAGAUACAUUUUUUUUGCAGCGUAUUGCAGGUCCGAGAUCCUUCUAAAUGUUAUGUAGUACUCAAGAUCAAUAAGGAUGGUAAUAAUCCGUGAUCGGAUUUGUCUUCAACAUGGACACAUGGAUGUUGAUGAUUCCGGAACUGCUCCAAGUUCAUCGCUAUGUGCUCAACCACAGGUUCAUCCAGGAUCCCUAGGAGCUCCUAUUUAAUUCAAUCAGAGUU